UUCCAGUCACAAAUCUACAUGUAAGUUUUCUAAGCUUACAUGAUUCAUGUUGUCUUCCUUCCCUCUUCACUCCCCUCUCCCAUAGUUGACAAGCAAUUCUACUGGGUUUUACAUGCAUUAUCACUCAAAACCUAUUUUCAUAGUGUCCAUUUCUAUAAUAAUCUUUAAAAAUAAAACCCCCCAAAUCAUACAUCUAAAUAAACAAGUGAUAAAUGAUGUUUUCUUCUACAUUUCUACUCCAAUAGUUCUUUCUCUAGAUGUGGAUAGCAUUUUUUUUUCAUAAGAUCCUCAAAAUUGUCCUAGAUGAUUGUAUUGUUGUUAGUAGCAAAGUCUAUCACAUUUGACCAUCCCAAAAUAUUUCAGCUACUGUGUGUAAUGUUCUCCUGGUUCUGUUCAUUUCACUCUGCAAGAGUUCACAUAGUUCCUUCCAGUUCUUAUAGACAUCAACUGUUUCCUCAUUUCUUAUAGCACAAUAGUAUUCCAUCACCAUCAUAUAUCACAAUUUGUUCAUCCAUUCCCCAAUCGAAGGACAUCCCCUCAGUUUCCAAUUUUUUGCCACCACAAAAAGUGCAGCUAUAAAUAUUUUUAUACAAACUAGUACUUUCCCAUUUUUUUUCAUUUCUUUGCAAUACAGUUCUAGUAUUGGUAUUGAUGACUCAAAAGGCAUGCAUUCUUUUUAAACCUUUUGGACACAAUUUCAAAUUAGCCUCUCAUUUUUGAAAGAGCUUAAACUUAAAUUUCUGAGGUUUAAGGUAAAAAAGACUUGGAAGAUUCCACUCUUCCUUUCAUAGGUAAGAGUUCGCAUUUCAGUUGAACCUAGAAGCAGGGAGCAAAAAGAAGUUGUACAAUCUUUCUCCAAGUAAAGGCACUAUUUAUUAUGACCAUCAAAGACAACAGAAUAACUGGGUCAUAAUCAAACAGCAGCUACAUCAGACUCUAGGAACAAUUUCAGUUAAUGACUACCACAUCCACAAUUUUGAGAAGACUAGAUGUCAUUAAAGACCAGCAAUGAGCAUGAUCUAUAAAAGCAGCUCAAAUGAACAAUGGCUCUGAAACAUUAGAGAUACACAGCAUCUGUGUUUUACGGUCAGAGAUUGGCAGAGUAUGUGCCCUUGAUGUUUCUACCUUUCUGGGAGAAGAGUGGACAAGUGAUGUCUGAAAGUAUAACCCAAGGCAGUGCUUGAAGGGAACAUGUGACCAAAAAAAAAGGAAAAAAAAAAAGAAAAAUGAGUACUGGAAGUCAGGAGCUGGGGUUACCUCCAGGAUUUUGAAGAAAAGAUGUCCAGUGAGGGGGAACACACUACCACCUAAAGCAAUCCAUCCCACUAUGAGAUUCAAUUUAAUUCAACAAAUAUUCAUAGGAAGACCCAGAAAGGAAAGUUCUUGCUUCCAAAGUUCUUGAAAUUGCCAAAUGAUUCAACAUCAGAAACUGGUAUGAUUUCUUCAGUGAUGGUGAUGACAUUAAAGAGAUAUUACAUCUGCUUUUACUUUGCACCCUAAUGACCAUGUGAUUUACAGCUGAAACUUUCCAUGUGUUGUCUCUCUGUUGAAUGGGAUUCUUUGAGGACAGU